rnacentral:rRNA from 1 species
UCAGACGAUGCGUCAUGCAUAUCAAUAAGCGGAGGAAAAGAAACUAACAAGGAUUCCCCUAGUAACGGCGAGUGAAGCGGGAAGAGCUCAAAUUUGAAAUCUUAAAGGGUUUCCCUUUACGAAUUGUAGUUUAAAGAAGUGUUUUCUGUUAGAGUUUCGGUAAAAGUUCUUUGGAAUAGGACAUCAUAGAGGGUGAGAAUCCCGUAUUUGACCGUUACUUUCUAGCUUUGUGAUACACUUUCAAAGAGUCGGAUUGUUUGGAAUGCAGUCCAAAAUGGGUGGUAAAUUUCAUCUAAAGCUAAAUAUUGGCGAGAGACCAAUAGCGAACAAGUACCGUGAGGGAAAGAUGAAAAGAACUUUGAAAAGAGAGUUAAACAGUACGUGAAAUUGUCAAAAGGGAAGCGUUUGACACCAGUGUUGUUUUUCUGAAAAUCGAUUAAAGAACUGUUUAUGCUAAGUUGUUUAGACUUUAUCAGCUAACUGUUUAGUUUUGAGCUUUUCUUUAAUGCACUUUUCAGUUAACAAGUCAACAUCAAUUUCUUUUGCUGUAAAAAAGCUUGAGGAAGGUGGCUUGAGAUUCGUCUUAAGUGUUUAUAGCCUCUUGCCUAUGCAGUCGGAGAGAUUGAGGUCUGCAGCGUAGAUCCUUCGGGGCUAAAUGCAUUUGUGCUAAGUUAUAGCAUUUUAUAGACAACUUGUUGACUAUGAUUUGUCUUGUAGCUUACUCGCUUAUGUUAUUUUACCUACGCUUAGGAUGUUGAAGUCAUCGUAUCGCGC